CCUACGGGCGGCAGCAGUGAGGAAUAUUGGUCAAUGGCCGAGAGGCUGAACCAGCCAAGUCGCGUGAGGGAAGACGGCCCUACGGGUUGUAAACCUCUUUUGUCGGGGAGUAAAACGAGUCACGUGUGACUCUUUGAGAGUACCCUAAGAAAAAGCAUCGGCUAACUCCGUGCCAGCAGCCGCGGUAAUACGGAGGAUGCGAGCGUUAUCCGGAUUUAUUGGGUUUAAAGGGUGCGCAGGAGGAGGUGAAAGUCAGCGGUAAAAUUGCGGGGCUCAACCUAGUACUGCAGUUGAAACUGGAUGCCUUGAGUGCGCGAGAGGUAUGCGGAAUGCGUGGUGUAGCGGUGAAAUGCAUAGAUAUUACGAAGAACUCCGAUUGCGAAGGCAGCACACUGGAGCGCAACUGACGCUGAUGCACGAAAGCGUGGGUAUCGAACAGGAUUAGAUACCCGGGUAGUC
rnacentral:rRNA from 1 species